GACGAACGCUGGCGGCGCGCUUAACACAUGCAAGUCGAGCGAUGAAACUUUAACAGAACCCUUCGGGUCGAAGAUAAAGUGGAUUAGCGGCGGACGGGUGAGUAACACGUGAGUAACCUGCCUUAGACAUUGGGAUAGCCUCGGGAAACCGGGAUUAAUACCAAAUAAAAUCAUAAUGACACAUGUCAUAACGAUCAAAACUCCGGUGGUCUAAGAUGGACUCGCGUCCCAUUAGCUAGUUGGUAGAGUAAAAGCCUACCAAGGCGACGAUGGGUAGCCGGCCUGAGAGGGUGAACGGCCACAUUGGAACUGAGAAACGGUCCAAACUCCUACGGGAGGCAGCAGUGGGGAAUAUUGCACAAUGGAGGGAACUCUGAUGCAGCGACGCCGCGUGAACGAAGAAGGCUUUCGAGUCGUAAAGUUCUUUUAUAUGGGAAGAUAAUGACGGGACCAUAAGAAAAAGCCCCGGCUAACUACGU
rnacentral:rRNA from 1 species